UUUGGUGAGCUCUUUAUAGAUUUUGGAUGCUAGCCCUUUGUCCGAUAUGUCAUUUGCAAAUAUCUUUUCCCAUUCCAUUGGUUACCUUUUAGUUUUGUUGGUUGUUUCCUUUGCUGUGCAGAAGCUUUUUAUCUUCAUGAGGUCCCAAUAGUUCAUUUUUGCUUUUAAUUCCCUUGCCUUUGGAGAUGUGUCAAGUAAGAAAUUGCUGCAGCUGAGGUCAGAGAGGUCUUUUCCUGCUUUCUCCUCUAGGGUUUUGAUGGUUUCCUGUCUCACAUUCAGGUCCUUUAUCCAUUUUGAGUUCAUUUUUGUGAAUGGUGUGAGAAAGUGGUCUAGUUUCAUCCUUCUGCAUGUUGCUGUCCAGUUCUCCCAGCACCAUUUGUUAAAGAGACUGUCUUUUUUUCCAUUGGAUGUUCUUUCCUGCUUUGUCAAAGAUUAGUUGGCCAUACGUUUGUGGAUCUAGUUAUGGGGUUUCUAUUCUAUUCCAUUGGUCUAUGUGUCUGUUUUUGUGCCAUGAACUUAGAGGUUUUAAACAACUUUUUAGUAUCUCUACUUCUGUAUAUGAAAAGAACCAAGAUCACUAAGUUCUAAAGGAGAGCUUUUAACUUGAGAGAUAAAGACUAUAGUGGAUGCUGUGCUGCACUGCUUAGCUCUGCCCUUCAAGGACUGAGGCAUUCUUUCCUUCACCUGCUGUUAAUGUUGACUUAAAGGCUCACAGCAGAGCGGCUACAUAGUGUCAGUUUACCUCAGGGUUACAUCUCUUCCCCAGAGUAGCCCAUAUGCAGUCUGGCUGAGAUUUAGGGUUUGAGUCAUGGGCAGAAAGGUGUGUUUCCUUUGCCUCAAUUAGGAACGCCUCUAAAGCAUCAUCCUAGCUCCAGAGCUCCCCGUGGGAUUUCCUGUUGGAAGUGCCUCACAAUUCAGUUUCUUAGUCUCUUAAGGUUAUUUCUCUUGAAGGCACUCCCCAAUUAACAAUCUGCCCCUAAAUCUCAGUCUCAGGAAACCCUACUUACAACAGGAUCCAAAAUGAAUCAAUAGAAAAAAGUGGGAAGAAAAAGAUUAAUAACUUCAGGUAUAUAAGAUAUUAAAUCCUUGAGAUAAAAACAAGAUACCAUAGAAGAAACAUUGAAUGAACAUAAAAGAGCUUAUGGAAAUUAAAGAAAACAUAUGAUGGCAGACAUGAAAAAACUUGAUAUGUAAGUUGAAAGAUAAAGUUGAGAAAAUCUCAGAAAGUAGAAGAAAAAGACAAAGAGGAAAGAAAAGACGUUUUGAAGGUCAGUCUCAUUAUCUGGCAUCUGAAUAAAAGAAGUUUCAAAGAGAACAGAGAAGUGGUGUCAUGGGGAGGAUAAAGGGAAAACAAUUAUUAGUAAAAUAAUUCAAUAACACUUCUCAGAACUUAAGAAUUAGUUUCCAGGUUGAGUACGUGGCCCAAUUAUGAAUAUAGGGCAUCUCACAGCAAACUUUCAGAAUCCUGAGGGGCAUAAAGAAGAUUCUGGAAGCUUCUAGGGAGAAUAUAUAGGUCACAUAAAAAAUACUGCAAAUCAGAAUGACUUCUUAACAACACUGGAAACUUGAAGACUAUAGGUCUAUAGGUUUAAAAUGGUGAAGAAAAAUGACUUCUAAGCUACUACUUUAUACCUAGCUAAACUAUUAAUAAAGUGUGAGAUAGAAUAAAGACAUUUGCAGACCCACAAGUUCUCAAAAAAUUUACCUCUCUGCUUGUAUUUUCUGGAAGCUCCUGGAAGAUAUACUUCCCUAAAAGGACGGAGUGUAACAAAAAACUUAAAGACAUGAUGUUCAUGAAAGAACCAUCAACACAGAAGCAAGGCAAAAUCUCUAUGAUGUGGAUUAAGAGCAAUACCAAGAUGCUAGCUCUAGGCUUAGGGAGUGAUAGCCAGAUUAGAGCAGGUCAGAAAGGGGUGGUGGAAAUUAUUCAGGAAGAUCAAAUUACUAGAAUACCUGAUGUGAAUAAAACAUUGAGAAGAGAUCUAAUAAUUCUCAGGGAAUUUGGGAUUAAAUUUGUGAUAACUACGUAGAAAACUAAGCAAAAGUAAAAAUAAUUCCAUUAUUAACUCCAGGGAAAUGAAAAUCUAUGCAAGAAAAAAAAAGUAGUAAUAAUGUUCUUUAUUGCUUGACUAUAAAAAACACAUCAUAAAAGGUAAAUUUGAACACUGACCUAACCAAAAUUUAUGAAAUCAUAUUGGGAGGAUGAAGGAAAGUGUGUUUUGUACACAUGUGUGUAUAUGCUCCUGCAUGUGUAUUUGCUGGAGUUAGAAAGAGAAAUAAUGUUCCUCUUCUAUAGAUAGAACUAGCAAUGUAAGAAUGGAGUGUACUUUAGUAAUAAGAGCAUAAACCAGGUCCAGACUACCUAGGUUUGAAUUGUGACUCUGCUACUUUCCAGCAGUAUGAUUGGGCGAAUUACUUCUCUGUAUAUCAGUACUUCUACAUAAAAUGGAGAUCAUAGUAAUAAUACAUAUUACACAGGGUUAUUGUGAGGAUAAUACAAACAUGAGUUUAGAACAUCACCAUACUGCUAUAUAGUAACUACUAUAUAAAUAUUUUCAAUUUAUGUUAUCUGUUAUGGACUAAACGGGGUCUCCACAAACUCAUAUGUUGAAGCCCUAACCCCCAUUACCUUACAACUAUAGGGAAGCCUGUAUGUGGGGGGAGUUUGCCACACAUGCUUUUAAACAGGUAAUUAAGUUAAAAUGAGACACUUAGGAUGCACCCCAGUCUAAUCUAACUGGUAUCUUUGUAAGAAGAAGAGAUUAAGACAUACAGAGAGAAACACAAGGGAUGCAUGGACACAGGGAAAAGACCAUGUGUGGACUCAGCAUGUCCUUCUCACAGAUGGCACACAGAGAAGGUGGAUGUCUGCAAGCCAAGGGGAAAUGCCUUAAGAGAAACGGAACCUGCUGACACUUUGAUUUUGGAUCUUCUAGCCUCUAGAACUGCAAUGGAAGGAUUGAAAGUCUCACCCCGGUGGACUAUGUCACAUGUUUUGGCUAAUGAAAUCUGAGCAGAAGUGCUAUGUAUCAACCAGAGCACCACCCUUCAUUCUCUGAAGACAGGAGAGAGGCUGGAAACAGUAUUCCAUCAUGCCUAUGUGAUGACACCACAGUACAGGAUUCAUGGAGCUGCUGGGUUGGCAAAUACAUUACUGCUGGAAGGAGGUAUGUCUUCAUGGAGAAUGAAUCUCCUAUGCUUGAGAUCUUCUCAGGUCUUGUGCUAUGUAUCUCUUCAUCUGACUAUUCAUCUGUGUUUUUUUAAUCAUAUCCUUUAUCAUAUUAUAAAUUGGUAGACCUGUGUGUUUCUCUGAGUUUUGUGAGCUAUUCUAGCAAAUGAUUGAAUCUGAGAAGGGGGAUCAUGGGAACCUCCAAUAUGUAGCUAAGUUGGACAGAAGUUGUGGGCAACCUGGGAUCCUACUACUUACAAUUGGCAUCUAAAAUUGGGGGCAGUAUUGCAGGACUGACCUCUUAACCUGUAGGGUCUGCACUAACUCUAGUUAGUGUCAGAGUUUAAUUGAAUUAUAGGACACACAGCUAGUAUCACAGAAAAUUGCUUCAUAUGAGAAAAAAAAAACUGCAUACGAUGGGUGUCAGAAGUAUUGUGAGUGUGGUAGCAGUGUGAGAGUAAAAGAGAAAAACACAGAAGUGAGUUUUUCUUUACAAAGGGCCCAUUACCUAUAAUCAGAUCUGCCCAUAGAGGGUCAGAGAGCAGCAUGUGAGUUCUUUUCUGACUCAGCCACAAAGCCAUCUACAAAGAUGGGGCCAUUGCUUUAGAUGUGGGCAAAGAUUCCAAAAUGUAGGAUCUUGGAAACUUUGACCUUGGAGAAUGGAGAAUUUUUAUUUGUUUACUUAUUUUUAUUUAUGUUAAACUAGAAGUUUCUAAGUAUGAUCCUGUGACUCACAAUUUAUCUAUUACUUUGUAACCAUACUGUUCUAUUUUAGGUAAGUAGUUACAAACUGAAGGGACUUUUCUUUGUUAAUUCUGCCAAGUAUCCAUUAUAAACAAGUGCCAUAGUUUUAUAAAAUAGGUAAUUAGGAAGCACCUUUCUAAGAUCAUGCACACUUCCCUUGGAGUGUAUGUUUUAUUGGUUUUCUCCACAGAUUGAUUUUUUUCUUUUUCAUCUAAAUAGUCUAAAGUUUUCUUUUUCAUCUAAAUAGAACCCCAAAGUUCCCAAAUUUAUAUGGGCUCAGUUUUUACCACCAGCAGAGACAAGCUAGAAUUGUUUAAUCCUAAAUACAAAUUCCUGGAAAGAGAAUCUGAUUGGACAAGCUUUAGUGUAGUAUCCAAAUCUGGCCCAAUUAAUUGUAGCCUAUGGCAACAGGUUACUGAGUACCACAUUGGUUCCAUGACCCAUCUCUGGAUGGGGUGGAAUAUUUGUUCUCAGAGAAGGAGGCUGACAACCUACAAUGUGUAGGCUGCAGUGCAGAAGUUGGAACACAGUAUUAUUGGAAGUCAUUGCCCUAGUGUAUUAUUAGUAUAAUUAAAUUAUUAGUAUACUCCCAAAGGAUUUAACUAUCACAGUCAUUUUUAUAUAAUUGUUCCUUUGAACUGUUGUAGUUGUUAAAAUAUUUCUGUAUGGUUUUUACUUAAGUUAAUAAUAUAUAGAGAAUGUAUGUGAUUUGGGGAAUGUAAUUUUAACAACCAAGUUGUACUUUAUAGUAAAAAAAUUACUUUGUACACAAUCAUAAUAUCAAUGAAUAUAUAAUAACAUAGAGAAAGAAUGAUAUUGAGUUAAGUUUAUAGGAAGCAUAUGAAAUACUGAUUUAAAAGAUUUAAAUAUAACCAGAAGAGAUAUUUUAUAAACCAAACAAUACACUUUAAAUUUCAAAUUCAAAGAAGUAGAGAAAUCAUUAAAGAUUUACACUAGGGCAGUGUUUUCUAGAGUAUUAGCUUUAUAAGUGGCUCCUCCCAAAGGUUCUAUGCUGUAUGUAAUAGAAUCGUUCAUUACAUUCACUUCUUGAAAAUUCACAUUUCACAUUAGUAUAUCAAAAGCUCUGAUAUGUCCAGUAGGAAUGAAAAUUGUUUAACUUUGUAACCCCAAAUCCUUGGAAUACAGACUUUUCAUUUAGCUAAUUAAAAAUGCUACAGAAUUAAUAUUAUGAACUGUCUUAUUUUGAGAGCUUCAUAUCACUACCUGUUAGUUUUUGUAUACUCAUAUAAUCAAUUAGAGUUACCAUUUUAUGAAUAAUACAUAUUUUAGAAUGAUAAGAACAAAUGUCAGGCAAAUGUUAGCAUUUGCCAGCUUUCUCAAAUCCUCUUUUGGUAUUCAAACAGCCCUUAAUAAGGACCAUAUCACUAGGGGGACAUAUUGUUGAUGGCUGGUAAUUGAUGGAUUAUCAGUUUGUGUUGAACAACUUCACAAACCACCUAAGUGAGCAUAUGUUGUAAAGUCAGGCUUAGUCAUUUUAAUCUAUACUUUUAUAUACUACAAGCAUCUCAUCUCCAUGGAUACCAUAACAAACAGAUGUUCUUAGCUGAAGUCACUUUGAAAGAGUUCAAGUUCAAGUGAUGAUAAAUAGGAAAGAAAAAAAAGAUAAGACUUCACUUUACUCUUUACCAAAUAAUGGUUAUGUAUUUAGUCAUUCUUAUAAUUAUCCAACUAAUUUUUAUUGAACACUUAUUAUGUGCUGGGCACAAUGUGGAGAUAGGCAGUCUCUGCCCUUUCAGAGUUGAUAUUUUGUCAUGAGAAAGAGGUUUGUCUACAAUCUCAUGCUAAUAUUAUACUAUAUUCCAAGAAUAAAUACAGGUUUCUUGGGAGGUAGGAGUUGGGGCUGGUAUUAAGGAGGUUUGAGGUUAACUGUUAGCCAAAUUACUGAAGACUUAGCAUAAUGGCCCUCAAACUUUAGUAUGAGUAUGCAUUAGAAUCAUCUAGAGGGCUUGUUAGAACAAAUUGUAGCCCCUCAAUCCCAGAGUUCCUGAUUUAAUAAGUCUAGUGUGGAGCCUGAGAACUUGCAUUUCCAGCAAGUACCUAGGAAAUGCUGAUGCUGCUGAUCUUGGGACCACAUUUUGAUAAUCACUGACAUGGGGAGUUUAUUACUUACCUAUGGCUACCAUGACAAAUUCUCCCAAACGCAGAUGACUUAAACAGUAAGUAUUUACUAUCUUACAUAGUUUCUGUGGGCCCAGGAAACUGGAAGUGCCUUAGCUGGGUGGUUCUGUCUUGAAGUGUCUCACGGGGCUGCAGUCAUCUGAAGGCUUGGCUGCAACUGGAAGAUCCACCUCCUACGUGGCUCACACACACCACUGUUGCAGGAGGCCCCAAUUCCUCACUGGCUGUUGGCAGGAGGGUUCAGGUCCUUGUCACAUGGAUUUCUUCAUAGGGCUGCUUGCAGUUUCCUCAUGUCAUGGCAGCAGGCUUCCCCCAGAGCAAGUGAUCUAAGAUCCAGAGCAAGACGAAGCUGCGAAGACUUUCAUGACCAACUUAUACGUGAUUACUUUGAUCACAUUAAAAGUAAGUCACUAAGUCCAGCUCACAUUUAAGAGGAGGGGAAUUAGGAUCCACCUUUUGGAGGGAAGAGUGUCAAGACAUUUCUGAACAUAUUUUAAAACCAGUACUGAGAUUAUACUCUAGUGCGUAAGCAAUUAUUAGUUGUUAAUUAAUUAUUAGUGAAUUAAUCAGUGAUUAACUCUUCAAGGAUGAUAAUAUGAUAGAAGUAAAGAUGCUGAGGAAUGGGAAUUCAAUAUCCAGAAUUUAUUAUUGUUAUUAUUUUUAUUAUUUAAUUUUAUUUUAUAUAUAGAAAGAGAGAGCACAAGUGAGGGGGAGGGGCAGAGGGAGAGAGCAUUGUAAGCAAGCAUCCACCCCACAACCCUGGAAUCAUGACCUGAGCUGAAACUGAGUCAGUCACUCAACUGAAUGAGCCACCCAGGUGCCCCAACCCAGAAUUUAUUAUUACUGUGCUUUUACUUUUAGUGAUUUUAAAAUAUUUUGAAAAUUAUAGUAGUAUAACAGUAUUAUCCACAUUUUGAAUAUUAUUCAUAUUUUGAAUAUUCCUAUUUUAUAAACAUGUAUUUUGUUUAAAUAAAGAGGCAUUCAAAUAAAGAGACUAGAAUGUCUCUUUAUUUUAUGUAUGUGUUAAUGGAUGGAUGAGCCUAUUUCGCUCCAAACAUAUGUUUGAACCAGGAAAGAUUAGGAGCAUGGGGUCUUGUGUUUGAAUUCUGGCUCCAUCACUUACUACCUGUGUAAUCUUAGGUAAGUUAUUUAGCCUCUCUAGAAUUCAGCUUCCUCAUCUGUAAAAUGCACCUAAUAAUAGUACCUACUUUAUAGAAUUGUUUUGAAGAUUAAAUGAGAUAAUAAAUGUUAAAGAGCUUAGAGAGUACUUGAAUAUUAUUGUUUCAUUAUUUAUGAUACAUACAUUAAAAAUGGAACAAUUUAGAAGGGGUUAAAAGGAAAAGUAUAAGUUUCAUUUAGAGUAGAGCAACCUUCAGUGAAUGUUUGGAGAGAUAAAAAUAAGUUUAUAUCUAAGCCAAACAGAUAACUUUAAAUUGUAUUAAACACUGCUAUACUUAAAAA